rnacentral:rRNA from 1 species
UCGCCUGUUUAACAAAAACAUCUCUUCUUGUUAGUUUUUGAAGUAUGGCCUGCCCACUGACUUUUUGUUGAAGGGCCGCGGUAUUUUGACCGUGCAAAGGUAGCAUAAUCAUUAGUUCUUUAAUUGUGAUCUGGUAUGAAUGGCUUGACGAGACAUGAGCUGUCUUAAAUGGAUAUUUAAUUGAAUUUGGUCUUUGAGUUAAAAUUCUUAAAUGUUUUUAUGGGACGAGAAGACCCUAUAGAGUUUGACAUCUAUAAUUUCUUUCUGUUAUUUUGUUUGUUUUGUUUUAUUAAGUGAUUUAGAUGUUUUGUUGGGGUGAUGGGAGGAAUUUAUUUAACUCCUCUUUAUUUUGUAUAUUUAUAUAUAGUUUUUUGAUCCAUUUAUGUUGAUUAUAAGAUUAAAUUACCUUAGGGAUAACAGCGUUAUCUUCCUUGAGAGUUCUUAUUGGCGGGGAGGUUUGCGACCUCGAUGUUGGAUUAAGGUUAAUUUUCGGUGUAGAAGCUGAAAGUGAUUAGGUCUGUUCGACCUUUAAAAUCUUACGUGAUCUGAGUUCAG